UACGUAGGGCGCAAGCGUUGUCCGGAAUUAUUGGGCGUAAAGAGCUCGUAGGCGGUUUGUCGCGUCUGCUGUGAAAACCCGAGGCUCAACCUCGGGCCGCAGUGGGUACGGGCAGACUAGAGUGCGGUAGGGGAGAUUGGAAUUCCUGGUGUAGCGGUGAAAUGCGCAGAUAUCAGGAGGAACACCGGUGGCGAAGGCGGGUCUCUGGGCCGAUACUGACGCUGAGGAGCGAAAGCGUGGGGAGCGAACAGG
rnacentral:rRNA from 1 species